rnacentral:rRNA from 1 species
AGCGUAUAUUAAAGUUGUUGCAGUUAAAAAGCUCGUAGUUGAAUUUCGGGAUCAAUAUGUCGGUCGUGCCUUGGUACGUACUGGUAUCAUUGGUUUCUCCUUUCUGACGAACCAUGAUGUCAUUAAUUUGGUGUUAUGGGAAGUUAGGACUGUUACUUUGAAAAAAUUAGAGUGUUUAAAGCAAGCUAACGCUUGAAUACAUUAGCAUGGAAUAAUGAAAUAGGACGUUCGAUCCUAUUUUGUUGGUUUCUAGGAUUGACGUAAUGAUUAAUAGGGAUAGUUGGGGGCAUUAGUAUUCAAUUGUCAGAGGUGAAAUUCUUGGAUUUAUUGAAGACUAACUACUGCGAAAGCGUUUGCCAAGGAUGUUUUCAUUAAUCAAGAACGAAAGUUAGGGGAUCGAAGACGAUCAGAUACCGUCGUAGU